rnacentral:rRNA from 1 species
AUGCAAGUCGAGGGGCAUCAUGGAGUCAGCUUGCUGACUUUGAUGGCGACCGGCGCACGGGUGAGUAACGCGUAUCCAACCUUCCCCAUAGUAGGGCAUAGCCCGUAGAAAUGCGGAUUAAUACCCUAUGUUUUCCUUUGCAGGCAUCUAAUGAGGAACAAAGGUUUCACCGCUAUGGGAUGGGGAUGCGUCUGAUUAGGUUGCAGGCGGGGUAACGGCCCACCUGGCCGACGAUCAGUAGGGGUUCUGAGAGGAAGGUCCCCCACACUGGUACUGAGACACGGACCAGACUCCUACGGGAGGCAGCAGUGAGGAAUAUUGGUCAAUGGGCGAGAGCCUGAACCAGCCAAGUAGCGUGCAGGAUGACUGCCCUAUGGGUUGUAAACUGCUUUUAUGCGGGAAUAAAGUGAGGUAUGCAUACCUUUUUGCAUGUACCGCAUGAAUAAGGACCGGCUAAUUCCGUGCCAGCAGCCGCGGUAAUACGGAAGGUCCGGGCGUUAUCCGGAUUUAUUGGGUUUAAAGGGAGCGCAGGCUGCGGAUUAAGCGUGCUGUGAAAUGUACCGGCUCAACCGGUGACGUGCA